GGCUCCAUAGUGUAGUGGUUAGCAUGUCUGCUUUACACGCAGAAAGUCCUGGGUUCACACCCCAGGUGGAACCG
rfam:Pteropus alecto contig100302, whole genome shotgun sequence.